CACACAUAUAUAUAUCUGUAUAUAUAUAUAUAUAUGUGUGUGUGUGUGUGUGAGAGUGUGUGUGUAAUGGUUGUCUGCAAGAAACACCUUUAAUUAAUCACAGCCAACCCUCAAAUAAUACGCAUAGUAUAGGACCCUUACAAUGCUACACUCCCAACUCUUCUCCCCACCCACCUUUUGUUUUCUUUCCUUCCACGGAUUCUGUGACAUCUUCCUCUCCUCAUUGACUCUGCAUGAAGGGGAUUCCUGGUGGGGGAAGGGUAGCUGGUGAGAAAUGAGGUAUCAAGAAACUAGCAAAGCAUCUUCUGGCUGUCUGUGGACAGUUCUUGUGUGGUCCCCAGCCUAGUCUCAAGGGUUCUGGGCUGGUCACCCUGCAGCCUCUGUGCUGUGUCACCAGAUUCGGGCUCUGAGGGAAGGGCCCUGGGAGGCCCAACAGAGCGGGGUGCCUUGUCUAACAUCCCCCCGUUCCUCUGGCUGUGUGGCUCAGGAAUAGGCCCAGACAGUGUGUCCAGGUGGUGCCAGGUCACCUCACUGCCCCCUUUGAGAUGGGCCCAGAGGGUUUUGUGGGGUGAGCAUGAAGCUGGGCACCCAAAGCCUGGGGCCGAGUGCCCCUCCCUGUGUCCCAGAGGAGGGGCCCUGACCUGAGAAGAUCCCCAGUGCCUGGCUUAUGGGUGCCAAUGUGGGGAGGGGUGGCUCUGAGGACUGAAGCGGGUCACUGAAAGAAGACAUUGAGCUCCAUGGCUCAGGGACCUUGGCAGUAGAGGCCUGGUAAGCAGAGACUAGGACACUGGGACUUGGUCACAAAAAAUAUGAUCAGAAAGGGCAUGGCCAUCAGAGAGUUGGUCAGGCGGCCUGGUCAUUGAGGGACUGUCAGUGAGGACCUGGUCACUGGGUGCUUGGUCAAUGGGUCUUGGUCAGUGGGGACCUGGUAAGUGGAGAUCUGAUUACUGGGGGCUUGGUCAUCAAGAGCCUGGUCAGUCAGGACCUGGUCAGUGAGGACCUGGUCAGUGAAGGACUUGUGGGGGGGCAUUGGUCAGCAGCGGCCUUGUCGGGGGAGGCUUGGUCAGUGGGGGCCUAGUUAGUGGGGUCCUGGCCAGCCGGCUGCUGGGUGACCUCAUGCAGGGGUUUGUCCUUGGAGCUUGCUUGCCGCCAUCUGUAGUGGGGAUGAGUCACAUCACCCCAGAGGGCUACUGGGAGGAGGAGAUGAGCAGGUGUGUGGAAUCCGGCCCUGCCCAACAGACCUAGCACUUUACACCCUAGCUGAGUCCCCUGCUAAAGAGGGGGCCUGCUCUCUGCCCUCCACCCUCAAUUCUCUGCUCCCCGUCCACAGGACUGCCCCACCUAGGGAGGGCUGAGGUUGGGGAACACCUGUGGACACUCUGAUGCUGGCCACAGGCCCAGGGCCGGGCGUGACAGUGACAAGGACCUGAGUGCGUACAUGAAUGGGGCCACCUGGCCCAGCCACAGAAGCAACACACCAUAUGCACGUGUUCACCCACAUAUAUGUGCACGCUCACAUUUACAAACACACUGCAUGCACACAUGUUGAUGCUUCGGGGGUGGAGGACGGUGACUGUGGGCCCUGCUGACCCAGGCGGGGGCCCAUUGUGAUGGGUGCCGUGAUCCCGUAAUGUCACUGGUGCUGAGUACCCACCCGCCUACCUGGCUGCCUUCUCUGUGUCUGGAGCUCUUAGAGACAAGAUAAACAGCGAUGUCUGGUUCUGCUCAGAGGAGGCUUUCUUAAGUGAGAGGCACAGUUGGAUCAGCAGACUCAGCUGAGUGUGACCUGCUCUGUUCCCUCCCUGCUGACCUGGGACAGUCGCUACCAGGCAGUGCUGGCCUCUGGGCGGGUGCCGAGGAGGGUCAUCCCUGAGCACUCACCAGGUAGGUGCCUGUUCUGCACUGACGGUAUAGAUGUUCGUCUUGUUGGUCGUCACAGUGACGCUGGUGGGGGUGGGUGCUGUCCCCUAAUGUACCCAUUCCACAGGUGAGAUGUCUAGGGUCAGAGAGGCAGCGACUGGUCCAGAGACCCAGAUGUGACCCUGGGCCAUGCUCUUAGCCCUGCCCUGUGCUACGCUGGACUCAAGCCCUGACCUCUGUGGCCUCCCUGCCCUGGAUUCCAAAUCCAUCCGGGGUUCCAGCCCCUGAUGGGGCAGAGUCUGGCCCUGGAAGAGCCACUGGGACAGAGAUCCUAUGGGUGAGGUGGAGGGGGUGGUCCUCAGUCCAAGUCUGUGCCCUAAGCUGGGACCCCGCGGGAGGUCUCACCAACUCAGACUUCACAUGUGGUCACUGAGGGUCAUUGUGGGACCCACUGGACACAGGGGGUCCCUUGUCUGGGAGUGGGGUGAAGAGCCUUCUGCCCUUGGGCAGUUAGGUAGGGGACUUUGAGCACUGCUGCUUUGGGACCUGGGAAGUGGGGACCUGGGCAGCGGGGUCCUCGUCAUUGAGAACAUGGUCAGUGAGAGAUUUGGUCAUCAUGGGUUGGGUCAGGGGGGCCUGGUCAGCAGAGACUUGGACACUGGGGCUUAGUGAAAAUAUGAUCAGUGGGGAAAUAGUCACGGGGCCUGCUCAGUAGGGCCUGGCUAGCAGAGGCCUGGCCAGCUGGCCACUGGAUGACCUGACAGGGGGUUUGUCCUUGGAGCCUCUUUGCCUCUAUUCAUAGUGGGGAUGAGUCAUAGCAUCCCUCAGCACUCGCCAGGUGCAGGUUUUGUGCUGACCUUGUAGAUGGCCUUUUCCUUCAUCCCCACAGCAACUCCAUGGGGCGGAUCCUGUCCCCGAAUGUAGCCAUUCCACAGGUGAGAUGUCUAGAGUCAGAGAGGUGAUGACUGGCCCAGAGACCCAGAUGUGGCCUGGGCCGUGCACUCAGCCCUGCCCUGUGCAGUGCUAGACUCAAGCCCUGACCUUUGCAGCCUCCCUGCCUUAGAUCCCACAUUUCCCUGGGGUUCUGGACCCUGAUGGGGUGGAGGGGGUGAUUCUCAGUCCAAGUCUGUGCCCAAAGCUUGGUCCCCACAGGAGGAGGUCUCAUCAACUCAGACUUCAGGUGCGGUCACUGAUGGUUGCUGUGGGACCCACUGGACACAUGGAGUCCUUCGUCUGGGAGUGGGGUGGGGAGGCCUCUGCCCUCGGGCAGUUGUGGAAAAUGAAGGAGCUCUAGAGGGCUGCCUGGAGGGUGAUGAUCGUCCCUCUUGGUCAAAGGGGCUUGGGGACUGGAACCUUCUCUGUCUGAUUCUCUAGAGGUCUUGUCUUCCCUUUGUCCCAAGUAUUCCCAAGGAAGAUGGUCCCCCUGGGUGUUCUCCAGGACCAAGUCCCCAGAAUUCUCUUGUUUUUUCCUUGGUGAUCCAGGAAAACGAAGCCCCCUCCUGUAUUGACAGCUGGGAAUUGUGGAGUCCACCGUCCUCCACCUGAGACGAGCACAGGGUCUCCACGAGGACAGAGGCUGCUUUGGACUCAAUAGAAAACUGGGCAUCUUCAUGGUCCUAGAAGGAUCCCAGGAGGCUGAUCCUAUAGAGACGUCUGGUUCCUGACCCCAACUGCCUCCAGGUGCCUGGAACAGCCCAUCGUGGGCCCUUUACCCUCAGCAGGUGGACGCCGUUGGUCCUGCCAGGGCAAGAUGGAGAUGGAUGAGCACCCGGAUAUCCUGCCCACCCAGGGGCAAGGCAACAUCAUCAUUACUAAGUAUGAGCAGGGACGCUGAGCUGGGGCAGCAGUGGACACAGAGCAUGAGCGUGUUGACAUCUGGAAAUUCACCAGUCGUCUCUGGGUUGUGUGUGAGACAGAGCUGCCCGUGUCAGUGCCCUGGAGGUGAAGGGAAGAGCCUGUGCCUGCUGCGUGGGAGACUGGUCCAGGGACAGGGAAUCAGGAGUGGUUGGUGAGACAGAGGGGGUGGCCUGCGGGCCCGGGCGGUGGUAAGUGGGCCAGGGCUGUCCCUGGGAGGGGCGGCCUUUCCUGACGGACUCUGUUCCCAUGAGCAUUUGACCAAAACCCAAAUCAAGAACCACAGUCUUGGCUCAGAGGUCACUGCCUGUUUGUACCAAGUCCCCAGCUAAGGGCCAGGACCUGACCAAAACUCGGGGUGUCUGUGGCCUGAGGAUGGUGUGUCCUGGCAUGACCAGUCCAGACCACCAGCUCCAGUUAGUUCAGAGGGUCUCAGCCCCCGGGCUCUGCUCUUUCCUUGCUCCUUCAGGGCCCCAAAGCCCAGGACCCAGCAUCCAUGGGCCGCUGCCGGAGGCCUGGCAGCUCCGCUAACUCCAUCAUGGCUCAUUUGACAGCAAAGGUGUCAGGAAAUAAAAUGUACUGACAAGUGGCUGAAGAUGCUUGGAGACUGGCCAAAAUAUAAGAACAGCAAGAAGGUGACAUGGCGGUUGGGCCUGGUAGCUCAGGCCUGUAACCCCAGCACUUCGGGAGGCUGAGGUGGGCGGAUCACCUGAGGUCAGGAGU
rnacentral:lncRNA from 1 species